CGUUAGCACACUAUCAUCUCCAUGCCAAAACAGAACAUAACACUCAAUUGCACUAAAUGAAGCAACACCGAGCACUAUAAUAUUGACAAUAGCACGGCUUGGAAAUCUGAAACAUUUAAUGCUUUUCAUUGUCAGCUCUAUGAAAAUAACUUGAGAAGUUCAAUUUGCAUUCAUGUGGGAACUAAACUAAUUAACUUUCUUAAACUCAUGAAUUUUACAGUAGUCAUUCGAUUAACAAACAAAACAAUGAAAAUACGCUCUCUAGAAGCCUCAAUCUGAUUCUAUUAACCCAAAACUUUUCAUGAUUCACACACUAAACUUCCAUUUUUGAGAACAAAGAAAAAUUACCCAAUUGAAUUAGCUGUCUGCUGAAAGUGCCCAGCGUACGACUGUCUUCUGCAGCAGCAACCUAUAUCAGCAGUUAAAAGAAGAAAUAACCUGAAACCACCAGGCUUGUUAAAGAUCAAUUCGAAUACAAACAAAACUCAUUUAUGGAUUAUAUAAUCAAUGUCGAUGACUCAAUAAACUCUAAUCUCAGAAAAGAACAGUAAAACCUCUUAGACAUUUUAUCGAACAGUUAGCAGACAAGAUCCUGGAAAAAAUCUAUGAAGACGAUACCAUAGCAGCAGAUUUAUAAAAAGAAAACCACUAUGAAGUCUGAGUUGUACAACAAUAUUGUACGACUCAAGCCUGUCAUUUACGUCCUGGUGCAGGAACAGUAAACUCCAUAUAAAAGGUAAAGUUACAGCAAAGUUCCAACCUUUUUCCACCAUAUUUUGUACUUCGGAUUCCUUGUCUAGAUUUUUGUUAAAAAAUAAACAACAAUAUUGUAAUACAUAUGAAUAUAUAUGCAUAUAGUCGGGAAUGAGGAAUUUUUACCCUAUUCUUAUGUCUCGAGGUGUAUCUGCUGUAUGUGAUGAUUUCAUUCCUAGUGCUGAAACAGAAAUGUUGAAAUCAGAAUUAGUUGCAAUAUACAACUGCUUAAUUAAUGAUUGCUACUGCUCAAAUUUCAUGAUUAGCUUGUUUGUUUCAAACGAAAAAUACCCAGUAGUAAUUAUGACUGGUAGCUAGAAGAACUUCCUUCUUUGUACUUUUCUUCGUCUGUUUUUUGCAAUGUCAAUCCAUUCAGACUUAUAUCGGAAAGAUCCAGGGAGAGAUUAGACAUUGCAUUAUUCUCAACAGCUGCCUAAAUUAAAAUAUUA
rnacentral:lncRNA from 1 species